UGUGGCUCAGUGGUAGAGCACUUGUCUAGCAUGCAGAAGACCCUGGGUCAAUUCCCAGCA
rnacentral:tRNA from 1 species